GGAAAAAUGGCCGAGUGGUUUGAGGUGCUAGACUAGGGAGUGUCUAUUUCUUUGAGGAAAUUAGUACCAGGGCAGUUUCUGUCCAUUCAAGUAUCUGGUCCGAAAGGGUGUGGGUUCGAGUCCCACUUUCGUCA